rnacentral:rRNA from 1 species
UUGGGGUGCUCGAGUGGCGAACGGGUGAGUAACACGUGAGUAACCUGCCCUUGACUUUGGGAUAACUUCAGGAAACUGGGGCUAAUACCGGAUAGGAGCUCCUGCUGCAUGGUGGGGGUUGGAAAGUUUCGGCGGUUGGGGAUGGACUCGCGGCUUAUCAGCUUGUUGGUGGGGUAGUGGCUUACCAAGGUUUUGACGGGUAGCCGGCCUGAGAGGGUGACCGGCCACAUUGGGGCUGAGAUACGGCCCAG